rnacentral:rRNA from 1 species
GAUGAACGCUGGCGGCGUGCCUAAUACAUGCAAGUCGAGCGAACAGACGAGGAGCUUGCUCCUCUGACGUUAGCGGCGGACGGGUGAGUAACACGUGGAUAACCUACCUAUAAGACUGGGAUAACUUCGGGAAACCGGAGCUAAUACCGGAUAAUAUAUUGAACCGCAUGGUUCAAUAGUGAAAGACGGUUUUGCUGUCACUUAUAGAUGGAUCCGCGCCGCAUUAGCUAGUUGGUAAGGUAACGGCUACCAAGGCAACGAUGCGUAGCCGACCUGAGAGGGUGAUCGGCCACACUGGAACUGAGACACGGUCCAGACUCCUACGGGAGGCAGCAGUAGGGAAUCUUCCGCAAUGGGCGAAAGCCUGACGGAGCAACGCCGCGUGAGUGAUGAAGGUCUUCGGAUCGUAAAACUCUGUUAUUAGGGAAGAACAAAUGUGUAAGUAACUAUGCACGUCUUGACGGUACCUAAUCAGAAAGCAACGGCUAACUACGUG